GGGCAAUCGUUAAUGUGAAGGAAAAUCCCCCACUCAUUAAAAUCAAUUACAUGCAGUUAGAUUGAUCAGCUUUUGUCAGAAAGGAGCGAGUCAAACCCUUUUACUAACUUCCCCUCCCCAGCAAGUCCCCAUCCUGCCGCCGGUUUCUCCCCCAUCAACCUUAGCUGGUUCUGUAGCAAUCUCAGGCCCUCGCCCAGUGAGUCCCGCCAUCCUGGUCCUGUUUCCCUCGCUGAGGAGGUCAAUUUUUCUGGACUUAACUUCAGCUCUCGGCCACUUUCUAUCGAUCUGUUCUCUGGCUGGGCUGAACUGGACGCCAGGUUUCUCUUGGGGGUCCACAUUCUCACAGGCUCACCACCACUCCUCACCCAGGAAUACAACUUCAAGGAAAGAUGCUAAGUGAUUUGAAUCUCUUCCACUUGGAGCUGUGCUGGACCUUCAUUGCAGCAUGUGGGCUUCUUAGUUUCAGCACAUGGGAUCUAAUUCCCUGACCAGGGAUCAAAUCUGGGCCGUCCUGCAUUGGGAGCAUGGAAUCUUACCCACUGGACCACCAGGUGCCAGAAGAAGCUUAAAAGGAGGAUGCAGAAGGUAACCAAAAGUUAGCAGCAGCAGGAAUCCACGCACCUAGACUGAAGGGAUGAAAGGAGGAAGCGGUAAUGUCUCAGCUCAGGGCCUGAUGGAACCAGAAACCACAAGAGAUACUGACUGACCUCCUGGGGAUUCUGGCCUCUUCUUUGCUGAACUCCAAAGACUUCACUUCAACGUUUCAGCUCAAUUGGUCCCAAAUAUUCCUCUGAAGGACUCUUCUCAUCCACAGGCAAUUGGAGCUCUGUAAUGACAGGCAAAUAAGGGUCUUAUAUUCCCAGCUCAGAUGCGUACCUGUGGGUACCUCCCUGAGAAUUUUGACUCAAGUUGGAUUCCUUCCUUGGAGAAAAUUAAUUCAGAGGUAGAAAUGGAAGCAUGAUUUUCCUGAGCUGCCAGCACACCCAGAGCCAAUCCUAUCCCUGAAACAGAUAUGACUAAUAUAACAAAUAAUAAACAGAACUUCUCCCAUCUGUCUGCUGACCACCUUCGGCAUUACUGGAAAAUGUGCUGCCCAUUUAAUUGCAAAACAAAACUUUAUUUCUCUAUUGUAAUCACCACUCUUUGGG
ensembl:lncRNA